rnacentral:lncRNA from 10 species
AGCAGAGUGGAAAGAGAAUGUGUGGAUCAGACAUACCUGGGUGGAAACUGACUUUACCAACGACUGGCUGGCUGCAAGACCUUGGCGAUUAUCCUUAACCUAGCCUCAGUCUCAACCUGUGGCACGGCAAUGGCAGCUUAGAGAGGUUAAGCUACUUGAGUCACACCCGUGUCAGGUGGAGGAGCUGAACCUUGGAUGCAGGAGUAUCCGUUUCUACUGUCUCAACUCUUCCUAACUGCUUUGGAAUGACAGAAUGAGGAAAUGCA